GACCUACAGGCCCAUUCACGCUUCAGGCGGCGCUGCUUAGGCAUGCAGCUAGAGCUGCACACACACAGAAAGGCGUUGACAGAUGGCAGCAUUCACAGUGAUGGCGGUCAGACAGGCGGAGAGCUGGAGACUUUUGAGCCUGCCUGCCCCCAUCUGAUCCAUCUGCCUGACCCGUCUUCGGAUAUCUGCUGGUUUCUUCUCGUGGACUGAACCUGGAUCUGCCUUCUGACUUCAACCUGGAUUAUCCCUCCUUCCAUUGUCUGCUUGGAUCUGACCUCCUGCCAGCUCUCCAGCCUUCUGCGUCUGGAAUCAUCAUCCUCGUUCUCUGGACACGGACUGAACUGUUAAAUCAGACGCCCCAGCCGCAGAUACUGCAGAUCCAUAGCCAGUCAUUUUAAAUAAA